rnacentral:rRNA from 1 species
UACGUAGGGGGCAAGCGUUGUCCGGAAUCAUUGGGCGUAAAGGGCGUGUAGGCGGUCCGGUAAGUCCGCUGUGAAAGUCGGGGGCUCAACCCUCGAAUGCCGGUGGAUACUGUCGGGCUAGAGUGCGGAAGAGGCGAGUGGAAUUCCUAGUGUAGCGGUGAAAUGCGCAGAUAUCAGGAGGAACACCUAUUGCGAAGGCAGCUCGCUGGGACGUAACUGACGCUGAGACGCGAAAGCGUGGGGAGCAAACAGG